UGCCUAUAAACACUAUACAACUUUCAGCAACGGAUCUCUUGGCUCUCGCAUCGAUGAAGAACGCAGCGAAAUGCGAUAAGUAAUGUGAAUUGCAGAAUUCAGUGAAUCAUCGAAUCUUUGAACGCACCUUGCGCUCCUUGGUAUUCCGAGGAGCAUGCCUGUUUGAGUGUCAUUAAAUUCUCAA
rnacentral:rRNA from 4 species